GCAGGGUGAAGGAAUAAAGUUAUCCACUGGGAGUGGUGACAUGCCUUAAUACUGGGUACUCAGUAAGAGGGAGGGAGGGUCAAGAAUUCAAGGCCAUUCUUAGCUACAGAGUAAGUUCAGGAUCAGCUGGGGCCAUAUAAAUUCAAUCCUGUCAAAGGGAAGGAAGAAAGUUGUCAUUCCAAUUUGAAUCAUCAGAAUGGAUGAUGCUAUUUAUUUGACUGGGUAUAGGGACAAAUUUGGGGAGAAAGAUGAUAAAUUCUAGCUGAGGAUUUCCUUUAUAGUGUAUCUGUGUAUGUGCACAUGUGGCAUGAAGGUUUGCAAGAGUCUCUCUACCAUGUGGGUCCCAGGAUUAAACUCACGCCAUCAGGCUUGGCAGUAAAGCCUCGUCCUGCUAAGCCAUCUUGCCAGCCAAAAAGCCCUGAACUCCUGCCUCUGGGUGUGAGAUUAUAGGCAUGCGCCACUACACCCGGCCCAAUUCAGGAGUCAGAGCAGAGACAUGGAUAGAGGUUUGACCUCUUGCACAGCAUCUGUGUUGCAGGUGGUUGGGUCCUGUGGAUGAUCUGCUGAAGUGAUUGGGUGGUUGAGCUGACCUGGUUCUCCCUGUGUUGCUGCAGCAAGGAACACACUGGCUUGAGCUCUCCGAGAUGACAGAUCAGCCGGACUAUGACUUGGAGACCUUUGUGAACAAAGCAGAAUCUGCUGUGGCACAGGGGGCCAAGCAUUUGUCUGCCCUGCGAGACGUCAUCAAGUCCCUGCGCCUGGCCAGGCAGCUGGAAGAGCAGGCCAGCAAACAAAUAAACAGCAAGAAACACCAAGGGUGACUACAAAUAAAGAUCUGUUGGUAUCACAGCAGCAUCUUCACCUCCCCACUGCACUUUGGGCACUUCCUGGCUUUGGUUAGGGUCUAAGCUGGACAGGUUUUGGUAAAUGCCAAGUGUGGGGCAUCAGGCCUAGGAAUGCUCUGGAAGGGAUGCGCUUUCCUCUUCCUUAGAGGGGUUAG
rnacentral:lncRNA from 1 species